GUCUGUGACAUGUUGGCGACAAAGCUUACCGCGCGCGGCAGUUGUGUGAAUUGCCUUCGCGAUGUUAUUGUGUUUUAAGGUUAUGUUGACUGUGUAGAUUGGCGGGUUAUUGCAGGUUGCUUUUCGUUCGCUAUUUUUUUUUGUACUAAACAUAUAAGUGCGUCAGAAGAAGCCUAAGUGCAUCUUUAAUUAACAGUUUCCAUUCGUCAUAAAGACGGGUGUCUCAGGCUCUCACGUGAGGUGCAACUCGUGCGUCGAGAUUUUCCAUCAGCAGUGGUGGAAUUAUUAGAAUUCCCUUAAACAGCCAUAAAGACAAAAGAGUAAUUUGUGCAGCUGCAUUUAGCUCGUCGUUAACAGCUUUUUUAGGCGUGAGAAAAUUGGUAAUAAGAAAGCUGUUAGCCGCAACUGAAGUGUCUCACAUUUCACACAGUCAUAAUUUUAGGUCCAUGGAUAGUACAUCAAAGCUACUCCAGAUAACAUUAGAGCCCAAAUUUUCAUGUGCACAUACCAAAGGAGUAACCAUUAUUUUGAACUUGUAUGAACCUCCUCAAUUCCAUGAAGGAGUGAAAAAUGUGGAGGGACAGAAAGUUACUGUACUUGAACUGAAAGCCAGAACAGUGGAGCCAGAGCCAGAUGUCCAUUGCUGAGUAACAACUCGGAAAUCACAUUCCCAUUAAAACGCAUGGCAGUGAAUGAGUGGUUACCAGGUAUCGAGAUUACCAUGACAACCAACAGGACAACAGAGGACAAUUCAGUGGUCAACAUGGUGUCUUCUGUAUGGGCUGUCUAGCAGUUAUAAAAGGCAGUGGAUUGGUGAAUUCAAGAGAGUAGGAGAGAUCAGCCCAAGAUUCGUGAGAGAUUUACAAGACAGACUUCGUUAAGGAGUUCAAUGUAUGAGCUGUUACAUAAUCAGUUGUAAUUGUAAAGAAGUGCCAAUAAAUCCAAUGAUCACA